CACGUAGGGGGCAAGCGUUGUCCGGAUUUAUUGGGCGUAAAGAGCUCGUAGGUGGUUCGGUAAGUCAGGUGUGAAACCUCCAGGCUCAACCUGGAGACGCCACUUGAUACUGCUGUGACUGGAGUCCGGUAGGGGAGCGUGGAAUUCCUGGUGUAGCGGUGAAAUGCGCAGAUAUCAGGAGGAACACCAAUGGCGAAGGCAGCUCGCUGGAACGGUACUGACGCUGUGGCGCGAAAGCGUGGGGAGCAAACAGG
rnacentral:rRNA from 1 species